rnacentral:rRNA from 1 species
CUACGGGCCGCACCAGUGAGGAAUAUUGCACAAUGGGGGAAACCCUGAUGCAGCAACGCCGCGUGGAGGAUGACGCAUUUCGGUGUGUAAACUCCUUUUAUCAGAGAAGAAGAUGACGGUAUCUGAUGAAUAAGCUCCGGCUAACUCCGUGCCAGCAGCCGCGGUAAUACGGAGGGAGCAAGCGUUAUUCGGAAUCACUGGGCGUAAAGGACGCGUAGGCGGGUUAGAAAGUCAGGUGUGAAAGCCAACAGCUCAACUGUUGAACAGCACUUGAAGCUCCUAACCUAGAGUAUGGAAGGGGCAGAUGGAAUUAGUGGUGUAGGGGUAAAAUCCGUAGAUAUCACUAGGAAUACCGAAAGCGAAAGCGAUCUGCUGGGACAUUACUGACGCUGAGGCGCGAAAGCGUGGGGAGCAAACAGGAUUAGAUACCCUAGUAGUC